rnacentral:rRNA from 1 species
UACAGAGGUCUCAAGCGUUGUUCGGAUUCAUUGGGCGUAAAGGGUGCGUAGGUGGCGCGCUAAGUCAGGUGUGAAAUUUCGGAGCUUAACUCCGAAACUGCAUUUGAUAACUGGUGUGCUUGAGGACUGGAGAGGAGACUGGAAUUCAUGGUGUAGCAGUGAAAUGCGUAGAGAUCAUGAGGAAGACCAGUGGCGAAGGCGGGUCUCUGGACAGUUCCUGACACUGAGGCACGAAGGCCAGGGGAGCAAACGGG